GGGGCGUUAGCUCAGUUGGUAGAGCAUCUGACUUUUAAUCAGGUGGUCCUGGGUUCGAGACCCGGACGCCCCACCA
rnacentral:tRNA from 1 species